UCCCUUUUUAGCUCAGUGGUCGAGCGCUGGCUUUGGAAGCCACAGGUCGGCGGUUCGAACCCACCAGGGCA
rnacentral:tRNA from 1 species